rnacentral:rRNA from 1 species
UCGACGAUUACUCCUACGGGAGGCAGCAGUGGGGAAUUUUGGACAAUGGGGGCAACCCUGAUCCAGCCAUGCCGCGUGAGUGAAGAAGGCCUUCGGGUUGUAAAGCUCUUUCAGACGGAAAGAAACGGUCACGGUUAAUAACCGUGGCUAAUGACGGUACCGUAAGAAGAAGCACCGGCUAACUACGUGCCAGCAGCCGCGGUAAUAAU